UUGUGGCGGGUCUGUACGUCACGUGGGCCAGGUUGAAAAAAAAAAAAAUGGUACAUCUUCCGCGACUCUGAGUUUUAAAAAUGGUAAUGGCUUUUAAAUCGGCCCCGGGGCGUGACACCAACCCCUCAGGGUACAUCAACCUCAAAGGUCAUCGACGACAGAAAUCAAGAAACUGACACGAGAUACAACAACCGACCAAUCAGGUCACGGAAAAUAGAUACAAUGCACUGACCGACUAGGUCACCAUCUCACAGAUAGUCAUGAAACCUCUCUACUCUAGACAGAAUACAGGAUAUGUAGAACAGGCAAGUAGAGCAAUAAGGAAACAUAAUAUCACAUACCAAUAAACUACUCUACUCCUACACAUGAUACUAAGCAGGGAAACAUCUGAGUAGAGAAUAACCAAACAACGUGGGUGUAAUGUAAACAAUAGAGGUGCAAAGCUCAACAUAUAAUAUAUGCAUGGAUAAUAACAAAAGAGCAAGGGUAAGAAACCAUCACCGAGCGUGCACCACUGUACCAACGUCGGAUUGAAGUACCCACCUGUACGGAUGUCGCGCCUGUCUCCUGACUGCGAAAGAAUAUCAACCGAACCUAAGGAAGGUCCACCGGGUUAGUAUCUAACCCACAACUAAGAAACCCUAAAAGCAUAACCCCACAAAUAAACCCACGAGAAUCGGUUUCCCAAACCGAUCACCGUAAUACGCUGGAAAUCCCGUAAUCGCACCGAGACUCCGUCGGGACCCACGGACUGUCCCGGAACUCACCGACUCGUACUACGAGUCACCCGCUGCCCCUAAAUACAAAUUUACGUGUGACUUGGCAGCAGAGACCUUAACUCACUCCAAAAC
rnacentral:lncRNA from 1 species